rnacentral:tRNA from 1 species
GGAGAGGUGCCAGAGUGGUAAUGGAGCAGAUUGCUAAUCUGUCGACGCGUUUGUGUCGCCCGGGUUCGAAUCCCGGUCUCUCCG